rnacentral:rRNA from 1 species
CCUACGGGAGGCAGCAGUGGGGAAUAUUGGACAAUGGGGGGAACCCUGAUCCAGCGACGCCGCGUGAGUGAAGAAGUAUUUCGGUAUGUAAAGCUCUAUCAGCAGGAAAGAAAAUGACGGUACCUGACUAAGAAGCCCCGGCUAACUACGUGCCAGCAGCCGCGGUAAUACGUAGGGGGCAAGCGUUAUCCGGAUUUACUGGGUGUAAAGGGAGCGUAGACGGCAGGGCAAGUCUGGAGUGAAAUGCCGGGGCUCAACCCCGGAACUGCACUGGAAACUGGGACGCUGGAGUGCAGGAGGGGUAAGCGGAAUUCCUGGUGUAGCGGUGAAAUGCGUAGAUAUCAGGAGGAACACCGGCGGCGAAGGCGGCUUGCUGGACGGUAACUGACGUUGAGGCUCGAAAGCGUGGGGAGCAAACAGGAUUAGAUACCCGGGUAGUC